AAAGAAGAAAUAAAUUUAAUAUAAUACAUCAAAUGUCAGUUAUUUUCUGACAGGAAAAUUAAGUUUUCCUUGGGGGAAGAAGAGGAGAUAGGGAUCACGGGGUGUGUUUCAUUGUUCGGAAAAACCCGUAGUUGGAGAUUAAGAGAUAUUGGAUUAGAUGUCAGCUGUGGACCUUUGGAUGUUAGCUGUGGACCUUUGGAUGUUAGCUGUGGACCUUUGGAUGUUAGCUGUGGACCUUUGAGAAAUGAAGAAUUGGAUAAUUAUAUUAUCUGACCAGGAUCGAAAGAGUGGGUUGAUUCGGUUUUAAAGUAUUCCGUCAUAGGAAGCUGAAAGACCUCAUGAACAGCAGGACAGAAAGGAUUGUUAAAUAUUUAAAUAUGUGAAAUUUAUGAAAAUAUAUAUGGA